UACUUUGAUGCCUGAAAACACACACACACACAAACACCACUUAAAUGAAACUAUGUGCAUGAACACCUUCACAGAGCAGUCCAAAAAUCCACCCGCAAAGCAACUGCAGAACGCAUAAAGGCAACGUGAAUAGAGAUUAGACCAAUUUCAACCUCAAAAUCCGAGUCCUUCCAUCAUCAGUUGCUUUGGAUCAAAGUUUGAUAACUCCUUCUCUUUCAAUCAGAACCCUGUUAGGGCACGCAGAGAAAAGGCUGGAUUUCCCUUUUAAGCUCAAGCCUGUCACUUCCUUGAAAAAUAACUGCAGCAAAGGAGAACGAGCAGCCCUGCAAGGCUUCCGGGCUUUACUGUUACGGUGAGAUCCAGCAAGACUGAUCAAAAAGCGAAGAGUAAAAUGAGCGCUGCUGGAAUGGGAGGCAAGGUAACGGGUGGCAAAAGGAGCGCUCUGAGCAACAGCCACACGCGCCCGCCGCAGGG